rnacentral:pre_miRNA from 1 species
GCUUUUAAGACUUGAUUGAAAGCCCAUUGAAGUCAAUGGGAGUCUUUCCACUUACUUCACUGGGCUUUGGAUCAUGCCUUUAUUUC